AGCGGGKCUAURAUGCAGUCGACGCUUCUUUUUCCACCGGAGCUUGCUCCACCGGARAAAGARGAGUGGCGAACGGGUGAGUAACACGUGGGUAACCUGCCCAUCAGAAGGGGAUAACACUUGGAAACAGGUGCUAAUACCGUAUAACAAUCAAAACCGCAUGGUUUUGAUUUGAAAGGCGCUUUCGGGUGUCGCUGAUGGAUGGACCCGCGGUGCAUUAGCUAGUUGGUGAGGUAACGGCUCACCAAGGCCACGAUGCAUAGCCGACCUGAGAGGGUGAUCGGCCACAUUGGGACUGAGACACGGCCCAAACUCCUACGGGAGGCAGCAGUAGGGAAUCUUCGGCAAUGGACGAAAGUCUGACCGAGCAACGCCKCGUGAGUGAAGAAGGUUUUCGGAUCGUAAAACUCUGUUGUUAGAGAAGAACAAGGAUGAGAGUAACUGUUCAUCCCUUGACGGUAUCUAACCAGAAAGCCACGGCUAACUACGUGCCAGCAGCCGCGGUAAUACGUAGGUGGCAAGCGUUGUCCGGAUUUAUUGGGCGUAAAGCGAGCGCAGGCGGUUUCUUAAGUCUGAUGUGAAAGCCCCCGGCUCAACCGGGGAGGGUCAUUGGAAACUGGGAGACUUGAGUGCAGAAGAGGAGAGUGGAAUUCCAUGUGUAGCGGUGAAAUGCGUAGAUAUAUGGAGGAACACCAGUGGCGAAGGCGGCUCUCUGGUCUGUAACUGACGCUGAGGCUCGAAAGCGUGGGGAGCAAACAGGAUUAGAUACCCUGGUAGUCCACGYCGUAACGAUGAGUGCUAAGUGUUGGAGGGUUCCGCCCUUCAGUGCWGCAGCUAACGCAUUAAGCACUCCGCUGGGGAGUACGAUCGYAGAUGAACUCAAGAAUGACGGGUCCGCACAGCGUGSAGCAUGUGAUGAUCGAGCAYCCGAGAACUUACAGUCUUGAMAUCCUUGAAC
rnacentral:rRNA from 1 species